rnacentral:rRNA from 1 species
GAUGAACGCUGGCGGCGUGCUUAACACAUGCCAGUCGAACGAUGAAGCCCAGCUUGCUGGGUGGAUUAGUGGCGAACGGGUGAGUAACACGUGAGUAACCUGCCCUUAACUCUGGGAUAAGCCUGGGAAACUGGGUCUAAUACCGGAUAGGAGCGUCCACCGCAUGGUGGGUGUUGGAAAGAUUUAUCGGUUUUGGAUGGACUCGCGGCCUAUCAGCUUGUUGGUGAGGUAAUGGCUCACCAAGGCGACGACGGGUAGCCGGCCUGAGAGGGUGACCGGCCACACUGGGGCUGAGACACGGCCCAGACUCCUACGGGAGGCAGCAGUGGGGAAUAUUGCACAAUGGGCGCAAGCCUGAUGCAGCGACGCCGCGUGAGGGAUGACGGCCUUCGGGUUGUAAACCUCUUUCAGUAGGGAAGAAGCGAAAGUGACGGUACCUGCAGAAGAAGCACCGGCUAACUACGUG